AACGAACGCUGGCGGCGUGCCUAACACAUGCAAGUCGAGCGCGAAAAGGGCAACCUGAGUAGAGCGGCGCACGGGUGCGUAACACGUGGGUAAUCUGCCUUUGGGACGAGGAUAACCUGCCGAAAGGUUGGCUAAUACUCGGUAAGCUUACGGACUCUUCGGAGUUUGUGAGAAAAGUAGACCUCUAUUUAUAAGUUUAC
rnacentral:rRNA from 1 species